UUAAAUUUACCUGAACAGGAUCUGUUCUAUAGGCUAGUACCUCUGUAUCCUUGAUUUCUAAUUAGGAGACAGGAAAUAUUUAUAAGGAGACAGGAAACCAUGUCUUGGCUGCCUGGCUAGAGCGUGAUUAACAGCGCGGGGUCAGGUAUCUUGAUCGUUCUUGGCUCGACUCUGGUACAGUCAGGAUGGCCAGGCAGCUGUCUGACAGACC